rnacentral:rRNA from 1 species
AGCAGCCGCGGUAAUUCCAGCUCCAAUAGCGUAUUAUUAAAGUUGUUGUGGUAAAAAAGCUCGUAGUUGGAUUUCUGUUGAAGACGUCCGGUCCAUACCACGUAUGCGCAUCUGGCUCGGCUUCGGCAUCCUCUCGAAAGACGUUUCUGCGCCUGAUUGCGUGGAGCGGAUCUCGGGACUUUUACUUCGAGGAAAUUAGAGUGUUCACGGCAGGCUAUCGCCAGAAUACAUUAGCAUGGAAUAAUACUAUAGGAUCUCGGUUCUAUUUUGUUGGUUUCUAGAAUUGAGAUAAUGAUUAAUAGGGACAAUUGGGGGCAUUCGUAUCAACACGUUAGAGGUGAAAUUCUUGGAUCGUGUUGCGACGAACUACUGCGAAAGCAUUUGCCAAGGAUGUUUUCAUUGAUCAAGAACGAAAGUAAGGGGAUCGAAGACGAUUAGAUACCGUCGUAGUCUUUACCAUAAACUAUGCCAACUAGAGAUGGGACAUCGUUCACUUAAGACUUGUUCCGCACCUUAUGAGAUAUCAAAGUCUUUGGGUUCCGGGGGGAGUAUGGUCGCAAGUCUGAAACUUAAAGGAAUUGACGGAAGGGCACCACCAGGAGUGGAGCCUGCGGCUUAAUUUGACUCAACACGGGGAAACUCACCAGGUCCAGACAUAAUAAGGAUUGACAGAUUGAUAGCUCUUUCUUGAUUUUAUGGGUGGUGGUGCAUGGCCGUUCUUAGUUCGUGGAGUGAUUUGUCUGCUUAAUUGCGUUAACGAACGAGACCUUAACCUGCUAAAUAGGAGCGCCUAUCUCCGGAUAAGCGCCUUUCUUCUUAGAGGGACUUUAUGCGUUUCAGCAUGAGGAAGUUUGAGGCUAAAACAGGUCUGUGAUGCCCAAG